CUGGCGGAAGUGUGAGGUUCCGGGGCUUGUUAGGAAUCGCUCUCUUGCUUCUCCCAUCCGGGCCUUUGAAGCCAGCAGUGUUGUAACAUGUAGGGUUGUGCUUCGAGCACUUGCCUCGCAAGGACAGAACCCAGGUUCAAUUCUCAGUAUACCGUCAACUGUGAGCACAUCCACCUCCUACCUCACGUGUCGUUCAACCUGGGAGGAAGAGAGUAUGUGUUAAAAGGCGAAGACUACAUCAUGAAGGAAUCCCAGUUUGGAGAAGACGUGUGUGUGGUUGCCAUGAGUGGCAUGGACAUCCCCCCUCCUCAAGGGCCUCUCUGGAUCUUGGGAGCCAGCUUCAUUGGCCGCUAUUACACCGAAUUUGAUCACCAGAGGACCAGGAUAGGAUUUGCCACAGCGGUUUGAGAUGCCCGGGCGGGCAGGAGGGCAGGCGGCACAGCUCACAGUUUGCUCUUUCCCGGCGCACGGUUCCCGCUGUCGAUUGCCGCCCAUUCUUACGGUGCAAGCUGUCAAUUCCCGGCUGCGUAAAGAAAUACUUCCUGGUGUCUGUCCUUAAACGACCCUUAGAAUCAUAGACAUUUUACAGCGCAGAGGGAGGCUGUUUGGCCCAUCGAGUCUGUGCCAUCUUUCAGAGCCCAUUCAGCCCCACUGCCUGCCUGUCCUAUCCCCACACCCCUCCACCUUUCAUACCCAUUGAGACAUUAAACCA